AGCUAUCCCUUUAAACUUGAAGGACUAAAAAAAAAAAAAAUCAGCCAUGGAAAUUUUUGCUACUCUCUGUUGAAGAAAAACAUCUCUUUCUCAUUCGGUGGCGUUUGAAGAUGAUGGUACAAAUUGCGGAGUGUACCCACGUUCACAUUCAGCCUCGUCUCUCUCCCACCCCAUCACCCAUUUCACUCUCUUUCUCAUGUAGGACUCCGAAAUUCGAAACAAAAACGAACAAAACAUGGAAAACACAAGCAGUGAAGCUUGGUGCUGUCACUGCUUCUGCUUCCAUUUCUGGUUCUGGGUCUUUGAAUUCAACAGCUUGUGAGCAAUUGGUGCCAGAAAACGACGCAAAGAAGAAAAGGGUGUUUUUCUUGGAUGUUAAUCCUCUUUGUUAUGUGGGAAGCACGCCCAGUUUACGUUCUUUCGGUCACUGGGUCUCUCUUUUCUUCUCUCAAGUCAGCCAUAGCGAUCCUGUCAUUGCUGUUCUUGAUGGGGAGGGUGGUAGUGAGCAUCGCCGACAGUUAUUACCUUCAUAUAAAGCACACAGGAUGAAAUUUUUAAGACAAUUACCAGCUUCACAAAGAUUUUCAAGGGGUCAUGUUGGAAAGUCGCAUGGAGUCAUCAUGGAUGUUUUUAGAAAAUGCAAUGUGCCAGUCAUAAAACUUGAGGGCUAUGAAGCAGAUGAUGUUGUAGCUACACUUGCAGGACAAGUUCUACAACAAGGCUAUCGGGUGGUAAUUGCCUCUCCUGAUAAAGAUUUUAAGCAAUUGAUUUCAGAAGAUGUCCAAAUUGUUAUGCCUUUAGCAGAGUUAGACCGAUGGUCCUUUUACACCCUAAAGCACUACAUAGCUCAAUAUGAUUGCAAUCCGUGCUGUGAUUUGAGCCUUAGAUGCAUUGUGGGUGAUGAUGUUGAUGGUGUUCCUGGGAUCCAACAUGUGGCCCCUGGAUUUGGUCGAAAGACUGCCCUAAAGCUUUUAAAAAAGCAUGGUUCAUUGGAAAAUUUACUAAAUGCUGCUGCAGUGAGAACUGUUGGACGACAGUAUGCUCAAGAUGCCCUUACAAAGCACGCUGAUUACCUGCGGAGGAAUUACAAGGUUCUUGCCUUGAGGAGGGAUGUUGAUGUUCAACUUAAAGAGGAAUGGUUGGUUAAGAGAGAAACACACAAUGAUUCAACUGCUCUUUAUAAUUUCUUCAAAUUGUUGGAAGGAACUAAGAAGCUCACACAUCAAUCUCAUGGAUCUUAUUUUUCAAAUGGCUAAGACCCAACAGGAUAUCUCCAGAUGAAGAAUUAGUAUGCUUGAUAACCAAGAGCAUUAGAGACAUUAAACUGACAAUUCAAGUGAACUGCCAUAUUCUAGCAGAGAGCUGUAGUAGCUCAAAAAUGAAGGGGCUAAACAGGUUAUUAAAAUUUGAUGUUCUAUUUACAGAUUUUACUGUAGGGUUCUUUAUGCAGUGGGGAUAAGAGAAACUUCACAGGGCAUGGUGGCUUGCAAUGCGGUCAGGCACCAUUCUUAUUUCUGAGAGACUACAACAAUGUUGGAUUGGCUAGAACGGGCUCCAAUUUCCGAAUGCAGGCUGUUGGAAAUUAGGAACUUUAAAUUUGAUCAAUAUGUCUAUGCGGCGAUCCCUGCAAAUGCAAUUUUCGAUGCUUAUCUGUUUAUCAUUUUUCCUCCCCUGAACUAUAUAUCUGAGUGGACUACAGAUUUAUAUAUUGCUUUCUCUUGGUUAGAAUGUUUCUUACAUGACAAGAUGUCAAUAGCUUCACCUUGGACCAAGUUUUCCUCGUUCUCUUCACCCCUUGCCCUUUGGCAUAAUGCUAAAGAUAUAAUUUUCUCUUUUCUUUCUGGGACAUUUUGGUUCAUGGUGUAAACUUCUUACGCGGAUCAUCUUCCCUGUUCAAACUCCAUCAUCGUUAUUGUUAUCUUAAUUGAAACACAUCCCAUUUGGUACA